rnacentral:sRNA from 2 species
UUGGGGGGAUUGGGUUGGGUGAUUCGUACCCUCUAUACCACCAUGGCGCUGGUGGUGAUUGAGCUCUUUUGCCCUAGUGGCCUAAUAGGUUAUGAGCCCGUGUAAGCGCGACUGCUACAGGGUGUGCCAACAUGCUAUCACAGGUUCGAAUCAGACCAAGGCCAGAGGAAUAUCCCUUACUAAUGCACAUUCUCUUGCCAAGAUGGGGGAGAUUGGUGGUUAGGCACCCAGGAAGACCCCAGGCCACCAAGGACCAAUGGCAGUAGGGUAGUGGAACUUAGGAAGAGCCAGGUUCCCCCAGCUGGCCGGAUGGUAGA